GCCCGCGAAACCCUAGCCCCUGCACCUUCUUCUCAAUCACCCCUAGCUCCUGCUGUACUACACGGACGCCGGCAACCACCUCCUGGAUCCCCACGUCGACCACAUCGUGCUCGGCCACCCUCUGGUCUCCCCGGUGGUGUGGUGGUCUGGGGCUGCUGCUACGGCCUCCUGGGAUGGCCGUGGCCUGCUGGGGCUGCUACAUGUAAUACGGGCAUGGAGGAUUCGUUGAACGAAGAUUGGCUGCGCCACUCGCCCCUCCUGCCCUUGAACUUCCUCCUCCACAUCUUCUCUCUCUUUUGAUGAUCAGUCCUGUCUGCUGGUCUGGUGGCGCACUUGGAGCAAGGAACACAGUUUCUGCCAUCCACGUUUUCCCUCCCUUGGUUCCUUCAUUGCCUGCAGUAGUGAUUCUAGCUUUUCUAAGGCUUGCUACAUGUAUCUGGAAUUGGUGACACAUAUAACUGGGAUGGUUCAGUCGGUUAGGUAAUGGUGCUUCAUUGUCUGCAGUAGUGAUUCUAAAUUAUAUUACUUUUUUUACUGCAGGUACAACACAUGUUUUGGGUUAUUUUGCAGGCUCUUCCUGCAUUCCUUUUUUGGCAGGAGAUCCUUCAAGAUUAUUUCUGUAUUACUCUUAGUGACAACUGAAAAUUUAAGGAGAAAAUGUUAACUUAAAGCAUGAUGUUUCCAGCCUAAAUAUAUGAACAUAAGUUUCUACUACCUGUUUGAAGAUUCAGGCAAUGGGGCACAUAGAUAAUAUCUAAUGACUUAUGACUAACGAUGUGCAUACAGGAGGCAAUUCAGUUGUCAGAAAGUUGAGGUAUAAAUCAAGAUGACAUUUCGAAUGUUCAGUUUUAAAGAUUAUAAUAGCGUACCAGAAAGUACUUGAUCACCUGUAACGAUGUUCAGCUAUUUGCUAUCCAAUUUAUGGUUUCAGAUACAGAUGGAGUUCUCCAGUUUCAGCGAGUUGUGUACAACAUCUAGUGGAAGUGGUGACCUGGUAAUGCAGCACACCUGCAUUCCCGUCACAACGUCUGACAUCUUAUAUGGUUCACUCUCUACUGAAAGCAUCAACUUACCUGUCCCUUUUUCCAUUGGAGUUUUUGGUGCCUACAGAGUUUAGAUGAUUAAACUUGAGGACCAAUAUGAUGCUCAAGCAGCUACAUGUCUGCACAAUGGCUACAGAUGUUUGGUGCUCAAUUUACCGACAAGAGUUGAUGCAUUUCCCGAAACACUAUGUAGAUAGUAGUGCAGUUACAUUACAUGUAAUUUUGAUUAGUGAUUAGUUGCAUGUUAUGUUAAUGGUCAGUAGUUCCUUUUGAGCUCAAGUAGCCUGCAAGAGCUGAUGCACUUCGAGAAAACACUGUCUAGAUAGUAGUGCAGUUAUAUUACAUAAAUUUUACA